CCUCCCCUCACCCCUCACAUGGGGUGUCUCAUGGACCCAGGCUGGCACUGAAUUUUCUAGGUAGCCAAGGAUAGCCUUGAAUUUCUGAUCCUCUUGCUGCCACCUCCCCGAGUGCUGGGACGACACAUGUGGGCCAUCAGGUCCCAUUCAUGCAGUGCUGGGGAUUGAACCCAUGGCUUCACACAUUCUGGGCAAGCAGUCUACCAACUGAGCCACAACCCUAGUCCUGGACAUUCUCACUUCUAGAUUGAGACUGUGUUUGCAAAUUAAGCUGACCUUACAUAGGUACUGUGUUCCCACAAGUACACAGUCCCUAUGGGGCGGAGAGGUGACAGUGAGACUAGCGGGGAGAGACAGAGACAGGGAGAGAGACAGAGAGACUGGGAGGAGAACCCAAAGGGUCGAGGCCUAGGCUCACUCAGAUGUAAUGCAAGGUCUCUUCUAGAACACCGUAUUGAUGAAGGAGAUUCCCCAGAUAAGGUCAAUACAUGCUUUAGGGAGCAAAGUGACAUUCCUCUAGCAACAGGGAGAUCAGACUCACUUUGAUAUGUCUGCCACAAAGGCCUGGCUUUCUCAGCACAGGGUAGGGGCUGAGAUGCAGACCCACUGCAUGUCCAGAAGAGAAAACAAGUGCAGAGAGAGUUGCCAAUUCCCACCCCCUCCUGAAAGCACAACCCCUGUGUGCUCCGCUCAGUAGGGUGGCUAGAGGGGGUGGGGCCCUGGAGAGAGACAGGUUGUGUCCCCCAACCCCUGCCACUCAUUGCCUCUGGUUCCACAUUUGUCAAAUGGGGGACAAUCUACUGACUUCUCCCAAGGGUGCUGUGGCCAUGGAAGUGCUCUAUCAAUUCGUGAUCAUCUGAGGUGAUCAUUGCAAGGUGGCGAAUGGCACUGCCCCUGUCCUCAAAGGACAACCAGAGUAGGUAAGAACGGAGACCCCGGCCCUGAGGUCUUGUGUUAGCAGAGGGGAGGUGGGAGAGGCUGUGGCAGGAGAGGGUCCGAGGCCUGGCCUUGGGCAUGGGUUGCAUGGGCCUGGACAAAGGAGACAGAGGCUAGUACAGUGGGAACAGACACACAGGUACACAGACGUGCAGACUAAGAGCACCCGUGGUAGGUGGCAGAGUCCUGCAUCCCAUGAUAAAAAGCAGAAAUUCCAAGGGAUUCGUGUUAGCUAGGCAGGAGCUGACACUGGUUCGCAUGCUUGUUCCUUGGCAAGGUCGGGUUGAAAGGGGAAAAAGACCAACUGAUUGGAAACAGAUUCCUGGGAAGGAAGGAUUCCAGGCUGGCGUGAGACAAGGGCCUGUAGCCGCUGGCCCCAUCCCACCAUUCCCCAGCCCUGAUGCAAGGCUGGCUGGAGCGAGGCAUUUCUUCCUGGCUUCAUUACAAGGCCCUGCUGGCAGGGGAUGAAGCUCCUGCCAUCCCUGCCUGCGUGCCGGAGUAAGCACUGAAGUUAAAAAACAUGGACAUCAGACCCCUGGCCAUGCUGAUUGCUCUCAUCGACCUUGGAUUCUCACCUCAGAGGGAUUGUCUGUUUCCCAGAUGGGGACCAGGAUACCACGUGGGACAAAACUGCUCCGUCCUAGAGCUGCCACUCCAGCUCCUAUAUGUCCUAUUGGCUGCUUUUCUGCAGUAGACAGGAUCCAUUUCCUAGCCAUGGUCCCUCUUGGGUUCCCCUCAGCGUCCCUCCACUUCUGCCCAUGCAGUCACACCCUGUCCCCUUUAGCAUGCGUAAUGGCUAGUCUCUCUGGUUCCAUCCAAGGCCUCCUCUGUGUUACUGUCACAGAGGGCUUGCCAGGAGAGCAGGAGGAUUUGAACUGAUCCCCCACCUAAAGCCAGGUGUGCGGUGCAGCAAAUAAAACCCAAGUACCGGAGAGGCGGAGUCAGGCAGAUCGCUGGCCCCUGUUGGCCUGCCAGCCUAGUCUACUUGGCUAGUUCUAGGCCAGUGAGAGAACCUAUCUAGGGGCUGGAGAGAUGGCUCAGUGGUUAAGAGCACUGACUGCUCUUCCAGAGGUCCUGAGUUCAAUCCCCAGCAACCACAUGGUGGCUCACAACCAUCUGUGAUGAGAUCUGAUAUCUUCUGGUAUGUCUGAAGACAGCUAUAGUGUAUUUACACAUAAAUACAUCUAAAAUGAAAAGGAAAGAAAGAAAAAAGGAAAAGUGAUGAAAUUCUAAAAAAGGGAGAGAGAGGGAGAGGGGGAGAGAGAGAGAGAGGGGAGAGAGAGAGAGAGAGAGAGAGAGAGAGAGAGAGAGAGAGAGAACCUGUUUGUCUCAGAAAACGAAGUAGACCCUGAGGAAUGACACCAGAAAUUUACCUCUGACCACGCUCUCCCUCCCAACCCUCAUAUAUAGAAUAGUUGUCCAGUGUUUGGCUUGGCAUGUGCCAGGCACUAUGCUGGCUUCCUCUAAUUCUUAUGAUGCUCCUGUGAAGUCUAAACUAUAGGCACGCAUGUUUUGAAGAAACUGAGGCACGUAACCGUUAAAGAAUUCAUCCAAAGAUGCAGAUCGAGGAAAGACUGGAAUCAAGAGGAUUCAAGAUAGUAUCAACCUCCAGAUCUUCUUCUAACCUGCUCCAUCCACCAGAGGACGUACAGCUGGCUCCAGGCAGGCGCCCCAAUGCCUACCCAAGGGAAUUGGCUUUCCUCAGUUAAGUCAGAUGCCAACAACAAGAAGGGGCGGAUGCUCCCUGAGCAUCUCUGGACCAGAGGAAGCUACUUCUGUGUUCUUUCCAGACCACAGGUCUUGCCUUCAUGCUUUGAUGCCUUGAUAACAAGGACAACCUUGACUUCCGUUUGCAGAGCAGACUCUCGGUACAGACGUCUGUUCACUCUCUGUCCAAAUGGAUCCUCACGAGAGUCCCUCCUCUGUCAACAUACCCAUGCAAAGGAUGCAGGACUCAGGGGCUGACCAGACUUCCAGGCACCAGGCCAGGGUUUCAUUCCAGCCUUGGGAUAUGGACCUUGAGUCACUACUCACUUCCCUGUGGGGUGAAGGGGCUCUGAGGGCCUGCAGGAUCCGGAUUCCAGCCUCCUCCCAUUGCUGGUACCCAGCCAUUGUAGGAGCUGGGACUCAGUGGGAGGGAGGGUCACUUCUGGACCCCCAGCAGGCUCAAGCCUCACACAGAACACAUUGAUUCGGAUGAAGUGGGGCACGAAGUGAGUAGUUUUGAUUCAGGGAGGUGGGCUGUCACAGGAGCUAUCUUAAGCCUCUUUGUUUGUACAAGCUUAGUUUCUCUCCCUGUUCCCACUUGUAAUUCACUUUCCAUCCAGGCUGCCUGAGUGGUCCUGUGCCUUGCCUCAUGUGGACUCUGUUGAGGAUUCUCCAUGCACCUCAGCCCUGCACACCAGGGCUUGUCACUUCACGAAGGGGCCAUCACCGAGCAGAAAAUUGACUUACCCCUUUUCCCUCCCACAAGUGGGACACCCCACCAUUUUAAUGUGCCCUUGACUCAAGAUUCUUCUCAGGUGGGGCUGGGAGCUUCCGAGAACUCUCAGGCUUGAGGCUUGCUGUGCAAUUUGACACCGUGUUCACAUUUGAGGAAGGUAGUGAGUGGCUCAGCGGUUGAGAAGGGGAAGUGUCAGGCAUGGUUGUGAGCUCAUUCUCAGCUCUGUCAUCUGAAGAUGUGGGACACAUGGGAUGGCCUUCCCCAGCCUUAGUUUAUACCUCAUCUGUGAAAGCCCUGUCCCAGAUCUGUAAUCCUCACAACAAAUCCACUUGGAGGGGUUGGGGAUUUAGCUCAGUGGUAGAGUGCUUGCCUAGCAAGCGCAAGGCCCUGGGUUCGGUCCCCAGCUCCAGAAAAAAAAAAAAAAAAAAAAAAAAAGAAUCCACUUGGAAAUCUGUGCUCAGAGUGACAUGACACAAUCAAGGUGACAGAGCGAACGACAGGCCACGACCAGGUCUGUCUUAUUCCUCUCACGCCAGGCAGUUGUAUCUAGAAAAUGCUUGCUGGUCUUUUUCCUCCUUUAGUGUUGAGGGUGGACUCCAGGUCCUUAUACUGCCUGACAAGGGUCCCACUACUGAGCCACAUCUUCUUCUCCCAGGUCUCCAUAGGCAAUGUACCUCUAAGGUUGGAGUGUCCGGUGCCCUACUGACUCAGCCAUCUCCUCAGGAUUGUGGAUAGGGUUGUUUCUGCCUGAUCCCCACUAGGUUUGUGAUGGGUGUGAUACUCAGGUCUAUACAUCCUGGGGGUGCCGUGGUUAGAACAAGGUGUCUGGGCCACUGGGCAGCACGUUCUCAGCCUUUUCAAGGGCAAGAAGGCCCCUUGGAGGGAAUGGGGUGGAAGGAAGUCCCCAGGGCUCCAUACCAUUAGCACCACAAACUCCAGAGAAAACAUACCAUUACUGGAAGCCUAGCCGGGCAGAGUGGGCGGAAGUGGCCAUGUCAGAGGAAACCACACAAGGCCUGCCAAACCUCGGGGGGCUGGCUCACUGGGAUGUUUACAGAAAUGUUGGCCUUGAGGUCGCCCAGCUGCUGGGCUGGGAUCCCCUUGGUAUCCUCAGGACCCCGAGUGCCCGCUUGGCAGGAACUAUGAAAGGCUGCAGUUGAGCCCUGUUUACCUUCAUGGCCGACCUGGGAGAGGAUAGUGAGGGCCAAAUGAGUGAACAGGGAACAGCAACCCUCCAGACCAUCCAUGGGCAUCCUGCUGCAAUGGUUGAACAGAGGGACCAGGCCUUUACUAGAUACUCCCGGGAAAAUGUCAUUCCCUCAAGAGACACACACAAGAGGUGACUCUGGAGGCAAAGGGUUCAGACUCUGAUUGUGUUUCCACUGGCUGGCUAACUCUGUAAGGCUAAUGCGAGUUUUCGGUGCCUCAGUUUCUCCACCUCUGGAUCGGGGACUGUGCUAACAAGUACCUUUUAUGGGCCUAUUGACGGAAUUAAAUGGUUAAAUAUUUAA